rfam:Oryza sativa Japonica Group DNA, chromosome 9, cultivar: Nipponbare, complete sequence.
AAAAAGGCAAACCCUGAGUUUCCGUGUCCAACUUUAACUGUCCGUUUUAUAUAUUUUUUUAUAAUUCGUAUUUUCAUUGUUGUUAGAUGAUAAAACAUGAUUAAUAUUUUAUGCGUGACUUGUCUUUUUAAUUUUUUUCAUAUUUUUUUCAAAUAAGACGGACUGUCAAACAUUGGACACGGAAACC